rnacentral:rRNA from 1 species
UACGGGGGGGGCAAGCGUUGUUCGGAAUUACUGGGCGUAAAGGGCUCGUAGGCGGCCAACUAAGUCAGACGUGAAAUCCCUCGGCUUAACCGGGGAACUGCGUCUGAUACUGGAAGACUUGAGUCCGGGAGAGGUGAGUGGAACUGCGAGUGUAGAGGUGAAAUUCGUAGAUAUUCGCAAGAACACCAGUGGCGAAGGCGGCUCACUGGCCCGGUACUGACGCUGAGGUGCGAAAGCGUGGGGAGCAAACAGG